rnacentral:rRNA from 1 species
UACGUAGGGCGCAAGCGUUGUCCGGAAUUAUUGGGCGGAAAGAGCUCGUAGGCGGCCUGUUACGUCUGCUGUGAAAUCCCGGGGCUUAACCCCGGGCGUGCAGUGGAUACGGGCAGGCUGGAGGCAGGCAGGGGAGAACGGAAUUCCCGGUGUAGCGGUGAAAUGCGCAGAUAUCGGGAGGAACACCGGUGGCGAAGGCGGUUCUCUGGGCCUGUACUGACGCUGAGGAGCGAAAGCGUGGGGAGCGAACAGG